UCUAGGGAUUUCCUUCUUGUAAAAUUAUUUGAAGAAUGUUUGUUCUUUGCAGCCAACUACAUUCUUUUGGUAUAGCAUUUGGUUUAUGCCAUGCGGUGCUGCCACAAAAGUUUCUGAAACGUAUUUGGAUGAAUGGAGGAGCUAGGGAUUACAGCAGUGAUACCUCACUCUUCAGGCUGGGAUGUAGGUGAUCCUUUGUAACUGAUUUCAAAAAAAAAAAAAGAAAACUUAUUUGUUAUGCCUUUGGAUAUUAACCUUGUGCCUAUAGAUCCUGAAACAUUAGAGGAAAUGCUGGGGAAAGGUAACAAAACUGGACUAUGUUCAUUUUUUUUUUUUGCAGUAUGCAAUAAAGAAACAAACUUAGGUGCAAAGUGACUUAUUUGAAAACAGAGAGAAAAAAUCUACAUGGAGGGAGAGUCUGAUGAUUUAAAACUUGGGCUAUCCAGAAAUAUAUUCUCUUCCCAGACCAGGAAGUCUGCAGUUUCCCUGGCUAGGAACAUCACCUAUGAUUUGAAACAUUUAGCGUUAGAACAGUUUAAUUUUGUGCCUUAAACUGAAAUUAGUGCUGGCAAUGGCCAUUGAAUUGGGUAUUUUUUUAGGAGAUAAGUUUGGGAAAGGACAAAACCUAACCUUUUUGGCUUCUCUUACGUACCUUCCUUUGAGCAUCCUGUGUUCCAUCUAAGGGGCAGAACUGUAUGUGAUAAAUUCAAUUUGGGGUCAUCUUUUCAAUUGCCUAUGGCAUAGGCCAUUACACUGAGGAUGGUAGAAUAGACAAGAUUACAACCCUGUGCCUGUGAAACACUAGAGUAUCCAGAGUCCUAGAAGGACCCUAAAGCGACAAGGCCAUAGAUUUGACUAGAUUCAGCCACAAUAGAAGCAUCCUGAAUUUUUAUCAGAAAUCUGUAUCCAUAGAAAUGGUAAUCCUGGUAGCAGUCUGAGACUGUUCAAUCCCUAAGGCAAGUUCUCAGGCUUUCCACUACAGAGAAAAUGAGCUGAUAACUGUAUGGCUCCCAGAAAAGGCAUUCUCUACAAUACUUUUCUCAGUAUGGCCAUGGAGUAACAUGAACAAGAGAAAGCCUUUCAGAAAGCAGAAACUUUGGCUAUCCAGGAACAUGUUUUCUUCCCAAACCUGGAAGCCUUCAAUUUAUCUUGGUAGCAUCAUCGACUUAUGAGAGAGGUAUGGGCCAGGGAUGAAUUUGAAUUGCUUUUCAUUUACCCCUUUUCUGGCAUCGUUUUUGCCAUGGUUGACAUUGUGUUUUUUCUCUACCACUGAUUGACGUGUGAAUGUGAAGAGUUAGCUACCUUACUAUUUAGUUACAGUUCCCUGGGGUCUUUAGUUACAGACCCCAGAUCUUUGAGAUGAGAAACUGGUGCUCUGACUGUAAAGAACUUGAAGCUCGAAAUAGAUGUAGUCAUUUUUAGACAUGAGUCAGCCCUUGUGAUUUAGUAUUUUCUGUUACUCAAAACAUAAAGACUUUUCUUUUUUAGA